AAUGAACGCUGGCGGUAUGCUUAACACAUGCAAGUCGAACGAAUUUUCCUGGAGCUUGCUUCAGGAAAGUUAGUGGCAAACGGGUGAGUAACACGUGGGAAUCUACCUAUCAGUACGGAAUAACAUUUGGAAACAAAUGCUAAUACCGUAUACCCUCUAAGGAGGAAAGAUUUAUCGCUGAUAGAUGAGCCCGCGCAAGAUUAGGUAGUUGGUAGGGUAAUGGCCUACCAAGCCGACGAUCUUUAGCUGAUUUGAGAGGAUGAUCAGCCACACUGGGACUGAGACACGGCCCAGACUCCUACGGGAGGCAGCAGUGGGGAAUAUUGGACAAUGGGCGAAAGCCUGAUCCAGCAAUACCGCGUGAACGAUGAAGGCCUUAGGGUUGUAAAGUUCUUUUAGUAGGGAAGAUAAUGACGGUACCUACAGAAAAAGCCCCGGCUAACUCCGUG
rnacentral:rRNA from 1 species